GCCCAAGAACUCCCGGACCCCACUCUGUUCCUGGGGAUUCGCCCUUCCACCAGAGCACCGCCAGUCUGUUGAUCAGGUAUCCUUUGAAGCCACAAAAUAAAUCAAACCUGGGCCCUGAGUCACCAUAGAGGAAAGCCACCCUGGGAGUCACCAGACGAAGAACUCCUACAUCGGACUUGGCUUCUGAGAUUUGCUCCAAAGUCCUGAUGAAGACUUUGGCCUGUGAUGAAGUCCUGUGGCCUGUGAGUUUGGAUCAGCGGUUUUCCCAAGAGCACCAUUGUGUCUGGCCCCCAGCAUUUGCAAUCUCUUAUCCCCAUUCCUGUGGGGGCUGUGGGGCUGAAGCCAGCUCCUGACCUAGCACUCACGGCUGCUCUCCUCUCCUGAACACAACCUGACUGAGAUGUGCCGCUACCUGAAUGAAUGUAAAGCUGCCUGCACUGACAAUUUUUGACCCGAGUGAGAACCACUGAAGAGUGAAGGUCAGUGCAGCUGAACGCUUUACCUUGUGGUGUGUGCACAUGCGCAGAACACCUGUGAGCUCUCCCUUGGUGGCUGGUCUGAACAGCGGGCCCUUAAGCCUUCUGUAGCUGACACACGCGGUUAGAAAGGGCUGAUGGAGUGGCGGCAACAUCUGUUCCACGUUCCGUUGCUGCCUUGCAAUUACUGAAAGUAACUUAGGAGCAUCUCUGUCUUGCAACU